rnacentral:rRNA from 1 species
UACGUAGGGGCAAGCGUUGUCCGGAAUCAUUGGGCGUAAAGCGCGCGUAGGCGGCCGGUAAGUCCGCUAUGAAAGUCCAGGCUCAACCCUGGAAGCCGGUGGAUACUGCCGGGCUAGAGUACGGAAGAGGCGAGUGGAAUUCCUGGUGUAGCGGUGGAAUGCGCAGAUAUCAGGAGGAACACCAAUAGCGAAGGCAGCUCGCUGACGUUACUGACACUGGAGGCGCGAAAGCUAUAGCAAACGGG